AGCCUACCUGGAGGUGACGCUGUGGCCCCUGGAGGAGGUGUGGCGGGAGUGGGCCGAGGAGAGCAUACAGCUGCUGGGCAUCUGGGUUCCCAGGUCCAUCGAGGGCGCCCUGGAGCUGCUGAGGUGGGACCAGGACAGGUGGAGGGGGCUCAGCUGCAGGAGGAUGGCCCUGACGGCUCGUGCCCUGUCCCGCAGGCCCUCCAGCAGACCCUGACCUGGGUCGAGACCACACUCGCACGGGCGCUGAACCACCUAUGUCAGCCCCUGCUGCAUCCCUACAGCUUCUCAGCUCGGAACUUCUCAGUGCUAGUGACGGUGGCUGCUGCCCGCGGGGGAUGGGCCCUGGGAUGUGGCCCGGGUGACCAGCUACCCAGUGGAGGAGCAGCUGCUGCGCCCACUUCGGUUGCUCUACGGGGCCAAUGUGCCCGCCCUGUUCUAUGGGCUCCGCCACCGCCUGCUGGGGAGUCCCCUGCAAUACCAUGCUGUGGUGGCUGGGUCCUGGCACGUGGUGACCUUUGACAGCCAGGUGUGGAGUCUCGGUGCCCGCUGUGGCAGCCUCGUGCUGGCCCAGGACUUGGCACAUGACACAUCCAUGCUAACGCUGAGCUGGGACAACUCCGGGCUUGCAGCCCUGUCCGUGGGGCUACCGGACAUGUCCCUCAUUGUGUACCCUGCGCUGAAGGCCUACACCCUGCUGCCAUGGCAGAGCUGUCCUGCCCCAGGACUGCCUCCAGCCACCAUAAGGAGGGACAAGGCCCGGGUUGAGCUGAGCAGCGAGGAUGUUUUCUCCAUCUCCUGUGACCUACAAGCUGGCCUCUGCGGCCUGACUCUGAGUCUGAGCCUCGGGCCUUGGUGCUGGCCUGAAAUGGCUGUUCUACACUGCCAGUCUCCUGGGUGGAAGGCGAGGCAUGCCACCCUAUUGUAUUCCCACCGUCC